UCAAAGGCCCUCUUUAGGGCCAACACCUGUAAAUUGUUACUUUUAU
rfam:Octopus bimaculoides Scaffold37179_contig_137, whole genome shotgun sequence.